rnacentral:lncRNA from 1 species
CAGUAUGCUUUUGACAACAGAAGAAAAGUAAAUAGGGAUAAAAAGACUUAAAUUCCUCAGCAGAAGCAGCAAUGAGGAAAGAAAACUUGUAUAUAAACAUGGGUCAACCAUACAGCCAAGUAGGACACAAACUUGAAGCCAGAGAGCUUUGGAUUAAGUCCUGGCUUUGUUAUCUACUAGUAGUGUGACCUUCGGCAAGUUACUUAGCUUUAAGGAGCCUCAAUUUCUUUAGGGGUAAGAAUAAAAAAUAAGAUUAUUCCAAUGGCCAGACAUAAUAUACGUACUACUAGUAUCAACAGUACUUGGCUCAUAUGCUAGUCCAUAAAUGGUAGCUACUGUCAUUAUUAUUCUAUUAUUAUUAUUAAAAAUGACCUUUCUAUGAAACCAAAACUAUCUUGUCUUUCAAAGGUAUUUGCCAUAAUUUUCUAGAAAUAUUAGACUAAAACCAAAUACUCUUAGUGAAGAAAGUUAAUUUUCAGAACAAUUAAGUACUUCUUGUUUGAUAUUGGUAUUAUGUAAGCUUAAGAUAUAAUUACUUGGCAAAACAUCAUAACCAAGUAGGAUUUAUUCCAGGUAUAUAAGGCUGGUUCAACACUCAAAAAAUAACAUAAUCAAAUAUAUCAACAGUCAGUUCAGGAGUUGUAGAAGAUGAAAGUCUGUGAGGCACUGGAAAGUAGAUCUAAAAGCUGAAGAUCCAGAGGUCUGGUUCACACCAGACCCCAGUAAAAUUUUAGGGGACAAUGUGGGAGUACCAACUACAAAGAAGGUGCUCCUAUAGAUGGAAUCCUAUAAUUAGAAAUAGUAUCAAAGACACUUGGUCAGGUAAUUGAAAUAUCCGAGUCUCAGGAAAGAUUGAGUGGAAGGGAGGAUCCAUACCUAAUUAUAUCAAGGCAUAAUAUCUGAAUUUUAAAGAUAAUGUCAGCUAUUUUUACAUACAAUUAUGUAUAGUUGUAUUAAGAAAAAGAACAGGGAAUU